CGAAAGGCAUAAAUUCUUAUUAAAUUAGAUUGAAAUGAGAUUUGAAGAAACUUGCAUAAACUUUGACACCACAAAUGAGCAUUCGUCUUUUUGAAAAAUGAGAAAUAAUUGUUAAAUAAACCUGAAACUUGAUGUCGCUGUCCACUGCCAGCUCUAGGCACAGGAUCAUUUGUCGAUAAUUACUUGUGUCAGUGCAACACUCCCAGUUGUCUGUCAAUGUUAUGUUUGACUCUCUGUGCCUGGAGCUUGGCUCAAUUCAGCUCUAAUAUGACCAAAUUUAUUAAUGUUAUUUCUGUUAAUACAGACCAUUAGCUGCCAGACUGCUUGUGAAGGAAACAAGAAAGAUUAGACUUGAUAGCAGAAACUGCCAGGUACGCUAACCAUUUCUGAAUAGGCGAAUAGACAUUUGGCUGCUAUUUACAUAGAUUUAUGAAAGAAAUACGACUGCAGCCUGAGGCUGUUUUGAACUUUGAAAAAUGUAUUUGCAAAAUCCCAUGAGUGCAAGGAAUUCACUUGGUAAAGAACCAGCGUAGAUCACUCAAAAACAUAACAGGCUGACUGCAUUGCGUGCUGUGAGUGUUUGCGCUUUUUUUCUUGACAAACCACCUAUUCACAGGGAAAAGGACCUGCUUGAAUUUUUACACUGCACUGCUCAAGACAUCUUUGUGAGGCUUAUAUGCUGAAUAUUUGAGGUGACUUGCUGAUGCUCUUUAUGCAGACACGUUCUGACAGAUUUGGACAGAGCCCAAGGCAGAUACAAAAGAGUAGUCUGUCAAAACCAGGGAUAAUUCCCUUCCUCUCUACAAAGGCACCAUCUGAGAGCCAUUUACCUAAACAGUGUGGUUUUUCAUAGUUUGGGGAAUACAAUGACGUUUUGAACUUGUGGACAUUAUUUAUCCCUCAGUUCUUUAAAUAUGUGAAGAGAAGUUCUGCUUUCAAAGACACCAAGAAUACUUCAAGGAAAUAUCAAAAUAAUGCUCAUUAUCAUAUCUUUUUAAGCAAGCUAAAAGGUCCUUUAGAACUGUAAGUCAUUUUAUAUUUUGCCCAUUUUGCCUGUAAAAAUAAUGACAGCAUGGUCUUUUAAGAACACAAUUCUCCCACAACUUAAAGGAGUCAUCGGAUGCCCAUUUUCCACAAGUUGAUAUGAUUCUUUAGGGUCUUAACGAAAAGUCUAUAACGUACUUUGGUUAAAAUUUCUCAGUGGUAGUGUAAAAAAACGCCUUUUUUUUUACCCUGUAAAAAAUCAGCUCUGUUUUCAGCAAGCUGUUUUUUAGUCCAUGUUGCUUUAAAUGCUAAUGAGCUCUGUUGACCCCGCCCCUCUCUUCCGUGGGGUGACGAGCAGACUGCAAACUUCAGCAGCGAAACUGGAUAACUAGCACAUUAUUAGGAAUGGCGAUUUGCAAAGAUUCAUAAAAACCCCAAUACUCACUUCUCCUGUAGGUGAGGCUGGAUCAUGAAUGAUUCAAACGAACAUAGACGCAUUUAUGCAGAUCGGCGCAUUCCCUUCAAAACGAAAGUAACGUUAAUCCUCUGCCUCUUCAGCGACUCAGAUGUCGGGAGUAAAUGACGACUGCUAUGUUCAUUAUUACAUCCAACAACAAAACACCUCAAUCGCUUAAUUGGAGACAUCUUGUCUUCCCCUGCACCGGAGUCAAUACAAUGGCGGACGGAUGACAGCUCACUCAGGGCGGGUCUAAGAAUGAAGAACAUCAUAAAGGUUUAGAACAACAUGAGGGAAAACCUCAAAGGGUCAUAAUUCAUUGUGCCACCCACUCCCACGUCUUACCCAGAGGAAUCUGCUCCAGGAGGUACAGGUAGCUGCCGAAGAACUCCUUCCUCAGAGUAUUGUGCAAAUGGAAAGACAUACUGUGCUU